UGAUGUGAAAUGAUACCCACAAGUUUCAGCCUGCGUGAUGGUAUCAGGCUACAAUGUGAACUAUUCCCACUUAAAUUUAAUGUAAUGUAAAGGGGUUUUGAAAAGAGAUAUAUAGACCCCCAUAUUGAGGAGGUUGACUUGUUUUGAGAGGAAACAAAUAGUUGUUUUCAUUUGAAGGGAAAUCAUAAAGGCACCGUCUUUGCACAGUCAAUCCACGUGCAAUCAAAAAUUAGAAUAAAUGAGGGAAUAGAGUUUGAUGUUUGAAUAGAAUAAUCUGAGUUGUAGGCAGAUGUAGUCAAGCCACAAUACCACACUGUAAUCUUUGUAAAACAUUUGACAUUUUUCCAAAAAUGUCUCCAGUUAACAGACUAGAUUCUUUGGGCUUGGACACUUUAAGUCACAAUAGGUCAGUGUUAGAAUAAUGCUGAUUACGAUCUAAUUUAAGAAAUCUCCUUUGACCCUUCACAUUCUAAUCAGGGGCCAUUGAGGGCGUAGUGGUACACUUGCACAACGUUUCUCCUUUGUAAUUCUUGUCAUAUUCAAAGUCACACACCAUCAUCUCAACAAAAUUAAAUGAACCGCACAUGUUUCUUCAAAUGAUUACAAAACUAGUGUUUUAUGUCAUGUAGCAGAUGCAGGCAACUUUCCAGAUAAGGAAAAAGUUUGUUAAUACCUCCCUGAAAAAAGAGGGACCUGGUCUUUGUGGCAAGCCAGACCAUGUAGCUGGAAUGUUGUUUAUUGGCAUUCAACAUCUUAAAAUAAAUUCAUUUCCCGAACCCUUUUCCCAGCCCACUGUGUCACGACCCCGACUCCAGGGACCAUUCCCAGGUUCUCCGCUGAAACAUGACCAUCAAUCAUAGUUUACACUUUGAAAGAAAGCAUCUCGGAUUGGCGGAACGCUGGCUAUAGUUGUAAGGUUUUCUGACCACUAGACCAGCCUCUACUGGGACAUUCAUCAACCUGCAAGGCAGUAAAACCACAGAGGGAAACUCACCAGGCAGACCUCCAAAACCAUUACAUGGUCAAAAUCAUUUUUUUGUUUCCCUGGGAAGGUCCCACCAGCCCUUACACACAAUGUUACAAUAGUUAUAAAUAUCAUUUGUUAACCCCUGUUUUAUAUUCAGACAUCUGCAUUUGGCUUCGGAUUACGUUCAACUGGUGACAACGUAGGAUGAGGUUAUAACAGGGGGAUAGGUUUAUCUCUGUGAUCUUUUAAUUAUUGUACACAAAAUACACAGAAAUCAUCUCCUCUAACGAUACUAAUACAGACUGUUUUGGCCCAUGGUCAUACUCCCUGCUUCCACGGAGACAAACAUCAGGACAAACACCAGGACACUUGUGUGUUAAGGUAAAACCGAGCAUGUCCUAUGGGUACGUCUGAUAGUUAAAGGUCUGCACCACAACGUGUCCCCACAUCAUCUUUAAAGCUGUCUUCAGGAUGGAGGGGUCUCUGUUCGCUUUGUCAUCAAGCUUUAUCUCUGCCAUAUCCAAAGCCCAGCUCUGGUAUGUGUCUUCUGCAAAAUCACAACCAGGGAAAAUGUGUUUAGUUUUCCUGCAACUUGUCAAAUUAUGACGUUCAUUUUUUUU
ensembl:lncRNA